CGAUGACAACAGCUAGAAUGG
rnacentral:miRNA from 1 species